rnacentral:misc_RNA from 1 species
UCGAGCGUCAUUACACCCCUCAAGUCAAACCUUUUGGUUAACUUGGUGUUGGGCCUUGCCGGAAGGCAUGCCUAAAAAUUAGCGAUGGUACGUUAAACCACGGACGCACAAAUGUCGUCACGGAGGGGAGGCGGCACCAGUCUAAUGAUUAAUUUCUCAAUGUUGACCUCGGAUCAGGUAGGAAUACCCGCUGAACUUAA